CCUACGGGAGGCUGCAGUAGGGAAUUUUCGGCAAUGGGGGGAACCCUGACCGAGCAACGCCGCGUGAACGAAGAAGUAUUUCGGUAUGUAAAGUUCUUUUAUUGGAGAAGAAAGAGAAAUUUGACGGUAACCAAUGAAUAAGCUCCAGCUAACUACGUGCCAGCAGCCGCUGUAAUACGUAGGGAGCGAGCGUUAUCCGGAAUUAUUGGGCUGAAGGGUUGCGUAGAUGGUUGAUAUAGGUCUUUUGUAAAAAGGCUAGGCUAAACCUAGUAGGGCAAAAGAUACUGAUGAACUAGAGUACGGCAGAGGCAAGUGGAACUACAGGUGUAGCGGUAAAAUGCGUAAAUAUAUGUAAGAACACCGGUGGCGAAGGCGGCUUGCUGGGCCUGUACUGACAUUGAGGCACGAAAGCGUGGGGAGCAAACAGGAUUAGAUACCCGGGUAGUC
rnacentral:rRNA from 1 species